rnacentral:rRNA from 1 species
GAUGAACGCUGGCGGCGUGCUUAACACAUGCAAGUCGAACGAUGAAGCCCAGCUUGCUGGGUGGAUUAGUGGCGAACGGGUGAGUAACACGUGAGUAACCUGCCCUUGACUCUGGGAUAAGCCUGGGAAACUGGGUCUAAUACUGGAUAUGACUUCUCAUCGCAUGGUGGGGGGUGGAAAGAUUUAUUGGUCUUGGAUGGACUCGCGGCCUAUCAGCUUGUUGGUGAGGUAAUGGCUCACCAAGGCGACGACGGGUAGCCGGCCUGAGAGGGUGACCGGCCACACUGGGACUGAGACACGGCCCAGACUCCUACGGGAGGCAGCAGUGGGGAAUAUUGCACAGUGGGCGCAAGCCUGAUGCAGCGACGCCGCGUGAGGGAUGACGGCCUUCGGGUUGUAAACCUCUUUCAGUAGGGAAGAAGCGAGAGUGACGGUACCUGCAGAAGAAGCGCCGGCUAACUACGUG